GACGAACGCUGGCGGCGUGCUUAACACAUGCAAGUCGAACGGAAAGGCCCUGCUUUUGUGGUGUUCUCGAGUGGCGAACGGGUGAGUAACACGUGAGUAACCUGCCCUUGACUUUGGGAUAACUUCAGGAAACUGGGGCUACUACCGUAUAGGAUCUCCUGCUGCAUUGUGGGGGUUGGAAAUUUUCGGCGGGUGGGGAUGGACUCGCGGCUUAUCAGCUUGUUGGUGGGGUAGUGGCUUACCAAGGCUUUGACGGGUAGCCGGCCGGAGAGGGUGAACGGCCACAUUGGGACUAAGAUACGGACCAGACGCGUACGGGAGGCAGAAGUGGGGAAUAUUGCACAAUGAGCGGAAGCCUGAUGAAGAAACGCCGCGUGCGGGAUGACGGCUUUCGGGUUGUAAACCGCUUUCGCCUGUGACGAAGCGUGAGUGACGGUAAUGGGUAAAGAAGCACCGGCUAACUACGUG
rnacentral:rRNA from 1 species